GUAAGUUGUUUUGAGACGGAGGGAGUAGAAUUUGUUAGUACCAACAACAUCCUUAGAAAAAAAACCCGCUGGCUAGGUUGUCAUUAACGUUGGCCUAAAAACAUCUCCAACAUAUGACGUAAAAUAGAGAUUGCGUCAAAAAAACCGUUUUUUAGGCACGGGCAAAAAAAAAACCCAACUCCAACGGACGGAUGAUGUAAACGUGUCCAAUAAUUUUAAGGCAUGCCCCCAAAAAAUUUUCCCUCCUCACGCGCGAAGUCAACGACCUGAAAUUUCAGGCCCUCCUCCUCCCGACUGACGCCUCCUUCAGCCCGACCGUUGCCGGCGACCGCCACCGUCCCUUUCUCCUCCUCCACCGCCGCCAUCCAGUUCUCUUCCCCACCUCAGCUGCUCCUCUUUCGAAUCCGACCGGCUCCCGACACCCCACCAGUCGAUUCGUCGCACGGCGACGACCUCCCGCGCCUGCCUCCACCUACGCGUCGGCGCCUGCCUCCACCCACGCGCCCGCGGCCGCCUCCCCCGACGUGCACGGCCGCGCUCGCCUCCAGCGACACGCACGGGUACGCCCACCCCACCUCCCCGUGCAUGGCCCCGCGUGCUGCCUCCCCCGUGCACAGCCAAAUCGGCCGGCGUGCCGCCUUGAUUCCGAGAAGCCGGCCGGUCUUCGAGCACCGCCGGCACACCUUCUUCGCCCCGCGAGUUGUGGAGGGCCAACUCCGUGUCCAGGCAGCCCACCCUCGGGUCGGCCUCUGCGGCCACCUGCGGGCGGCGUUCGGUGUCGCGCAUGUCGAUGCGAUAGGGUGCGGACGCCGAGGCGGCACGCCGGCGGAGCGGGCGGGGCGGCGAAUCGGGAUUUGGGGAGGGAGAAGAGAAAGGUAAAGAAGAGCUGUGUCGGUAAGUGGUGGACCCCGUCCGUCGAUGUGAAAUUUUG
rnacentral:lncRNA from 1 species